UUGGAGUUCUUACAAGAUGGCAG
rnacentral:piRNA from 1 species